rnacentral:rRNA from 56 species
AAAACGACUCUCGGCAACGGAUAUCUCGGCUCUCGCAUCGAUGAAGAACGUAGCGAAAUGCGAUACUUGGUGUGAAUUGCAGAAUCCCGUGAACCAUCGAGUCUUUGAACGCAAGUUGCGCCCCAAGCCGUUAGGCCGAGGGCACGCCUGCCUGGGUGUCAC